rnacentral:rRNA from 1 species
UACGUAGGGGCGAGCGUUGUCCGGAAUUAUUGGGCGUAAAGGGUUCGCAGGCGGUCUGAAUAGUCAGAUAUGAAAGAUCAUGGCUUAACCAUGGUAAGCAUUUGAAACUGUCAGACUUGAGUUAAGGAGAGGAAAGUGGAAUUCCUAGUGUAGCGGUGAAAUGCGUAGAUAUUAGGAGGAAUACCAGUGGCGAAGGCGAACUUUCUGGACUUAUACUGACGCUGAGGAACGAAAGCGUGGGGAGCAAACAGGAUUAGAUACCCUGGUA